GAAAAAAGAGGAUGGGAAAACCGCGGUGGGAGAGGUUUCGAGGGUGUCUAGCGCAGUCCUGGGAAUCCUGCCUGGUCAACCCCGAAUCCAGGAGCCACUAGGCUGGAUCUUUUCCUAGGUUUUGGGCCCUGACUUCUUUACCCCGUGCCAAAGGCAGCCAGAGCCAAGACCCUUGCUAGCAACUACCGGGCAGCACGGAAUCUUCUGGGCUGGGCAAGGGCACAGGAAUUAACUCUUCGCGUCCUUUGGAGUCAAUACUAGUAGUCUUUACCUCAUAGUGUUGCUGGGAGAAUUAAAUUAGUUACUACAUCUCAAGUGAUUAGAAUAGUGUCAGGGACACUGUAAGCAGUCAAUCAGUGAUAGCUCCUAUUAUUACGAAGGUGUUCAUUUGUUGGUGGUCUGUGUCACCUCUAGAUUGUGAGUCUCAUGAGGGCAGAGACUACGUAUUUUCUUUAUCACCGAACUACAGCACCUGACACAAAGCAGCUAUCAAUAAAUUAUUUGUUGAGUUAAUGAAUAAAUGGGUGAUUGAAUGAUAACUUGGACUAGUGGCUAUGCCAAGACCUUCUCUGCCACGUAAGGGGUGCGUUUGUGGAAGUUUGAGGAAGAAGGGCUAUGAUUGGGAAAGGUGGCACAUAGGACUCCUGUGGAUUGCUAUAUCAAGUGACCUGCUCUGCCCUUGGAAAAUGGAAUGUCUGGCAGUUUCCUACAUGGACGACUGUCAGACAGCUGACCCGAAAUUUGAAACUGAGCUGUGGCUAGCUACAUCAGUAUUUGCAUCUUGUACAGUUAGUAAGUAAAGAAGGAAGGGGGAGAGGGCUGAAGCGGAAAACUCAAAAAUAAUGGUGGCAAAUGUUAAGUGAGGGAGAUUGGUGGGGGGGAGCUCUGAAUGAAUCGAAAUGUGUAUGGAGGAGUAUAGUGACCCCAAAAGGAAAUCUGAUAGCGGUCCUAAAGUGACAGUAAUGUUAUCCACCUUUCUGUUCUAGUCAUAGGGUUCCUGAUGAUCUGCCCUCAUGUCCCAGCAUUCUUGGGGGAAGGUACCUGGGCCUUCAGCUAACUGCUGUAGAACAACAGCUCCACCACGGUACCCUGGAAGUUGCGUUAUCCACAUAAACCCCACAGGCAAAGGCUUGAACCACAGCUAAUCUGAGUCUUGGCAAAAUGCCUGUGACCCUCCCAGAGAACAAGAAGAUAGGAGGCUUGCAAGAAGUUGCUUCACGGCCAUCUUCCACUCACCUCUGUAUCUCUCCUCUCCCCUGGGAAACUGUCAAGAGACAGUUUUGCAUCGCCUCCCACCUGCUGAGAUCUGAUGAGAUAAGAGUCUUCCUGACUCAUCCCACUCAGAAGAGAGCUACAGACUAUAAAGUCAUUUAGUUGCAGUCUAGAAUUGGCUUCGGAGCAACUGGAUAUCCCAUAACUACCAUUGCAGUCCUCUGGCCCCUUUUGUUUCAGUGUAAUUCUUUUUUUUUUUUUU